AUUUCACUUAUCAAACAUUGGAGUAGAGCAUACAGCAAAAAGAUUUCUGAGAUUGCUAAUCAGGAAGUGAAGGCUGAAAAGCUCUGUAAGAACU